AGAAGAUGCAAGAACAAGAAGUCAAAUUUAAAACAAGGAAGACCAACUACUGACUUCCACUCGAAACGGCGGAGGAACUCCCAAGUCCUGAAGCGAAACAAAACAGAGAGAAAAUAAAAGUUAUUUACUGAGAACAGGAGAGCAAUCCAGACAGCCAAAACUUGCACAGUUCACCAGUGAAUACCACAAGUAUGCCACCUGUUCAAUUCUGCUCUGUUAGUUUUUUAUACCACUUUGAGAGCUAUGAAAGACAACAGCAAAAACACACCAUCGCAGAGCAGCUGAACAUGGAUGAAACACGAGAUGGAGCUAUUGAGCUAUGAGUAUCUGGAGAACUCUGGGACAGCGCUCAGAAUGAAAGAUCUUGCUAUAUUGAAAAUGUCAAUAUCAGCAUAUGUUGAUAUCAGCACAUGUUCUUCAUUCUUAUAAAGAAAAUUGGAUAAUUAUCUGAAGAGAAAAUAUUUGCAUAGUGACGGAAAAGGCAGGUAAGGUGAACUAGAUGAGUUGAUCUUACAGAGACUCAGCUUGGUCAUAACAGGCCACAUGGCCUCCUUCUGUGCUGUAGCCAUUCUAUGAUUCUAUGCUCAAACAUUUUUGCAUUUCUCAAACUACUUGAUCCAUCAGGUGACUUGAUUGUCUUAUUUCAGGAAGCUGAUGAUACUUUCUGAUAAAGCAUUGUGUUUGAGGGCUACUCAAUGUGAGGAGGGAACCCUCUACGCCUCCUUCUCAGAGAGAAAAUUAAUGCUUUAUGCAGUUCUUCCAUCUGCCCACAUCUAAUGACUCUACUAUGUACAGGAUCUUGAGCAUUGACAACCCACAGAUUCCUCAUUCAAGGGGUUAUUUUUCAAGAGUGAGGCAACACAGUUAAUGUUGGCAAGUCAUAGGGGAUGUCACAGCUGAGCCUGAUUCUGUCACCACCCAAUAUUGGCUUGUGCAUUUUCCAGCACUGGAUGGUGAUCAGGAGUAGGAAUUCCAGUUGUUUUCAAUUUCUUAACCCAGGGGCAUGAAAACCAAUUGUAAUGCCCCCCC